rnacentral:rRNA from 1 species
AAUCAACGCUGGCGGCGUGCCUAACACAUGCAAGUCGAGCGGGAAAGGGGGCUUCGGUCCCUGAGUAUAGCGGCGGACGGGUGAGUAACACGUGGGUAAUUUGCCCUUGGGUGUGGAAUAACUCAGGGAAACUUGAGCUAAUACCGCAUGACAUCCCCUUCACACACGAGUUGGGGAUCAAAGCCGGGGACCCUUCGGGGCCUGGCGCCUGAGGAGAAGCCCGCGCCCGAUUAGCUAGUUGGGAGGUAAUGGCCCACCAAGGCUUCGAUCGGUAGCCGGCCUGAGAGGGCGGACGGCCACACUGGGACUGAGACACGGCCCAGACUCCUACGGGGAGGCAGCAGUGGGGAAUUUUUGUCAAUGGGGGAAACCCUGAACAAGCAACGCCGCGUGGA